AACAUUUUUUUUUCACUCUGGAAUGAGAAUGGCCCAAUCCAGCUUUGAAUCCUAGAUUGGACUUCCCCCUCCUCUCAUUUGAUCACUCUACUCACUCUUAAUCAAAAUUCCUCUCUCCAAAUUGUAAAUACCCCAAUUGUCCAUUCCGAUUUCUAUUACAAUAAUGAAUCAAAUAUUUUUAAAUGAUACGUCAUUUUUUUUUUCUAUUUCAAUGCAAUCCAAUCAUAAAAAAAACAUGCUAAGGACAUAUUUAGUUCAUGAUUGGCAUAGAAAUGAGAAAUAAAAUUAAAUUGCAUGAAAAAUAAAAUGACGAAUCAUUUAACAAUGAUUGAUUUAUUAUUGAGAUAGAAAUCAAAAUGAAUAUCUAGCAUUCCUAGAGUGAUGAAGGAAGGUGUUUGGUUAAAAGAGUGGAAAUGAUGAAAGGGGGAGGAAAGAGAGGUGUUUGUGAGGAAAGACUUUUUAAGUGAUUUGGAAUGGGUCAAUCUGUAAUUCAAAACCGAAUUGAGCCAUAAAUAGAUUAGAUCAUUUUCAUUUCAGAGUAGAAUAAAAAUCAAAAUCCAAUUCCCGUAAAACAAAUAACAAUUAUCCAAAUCAAUAAAUCUCAUUUCGAUUCUAUCGGCUAAAAUAGGUGAAACACACA
rnacentral:lncRNA from 1 species